UAGACCUACAUCUCAGUCUGAGGGCUCUCCCCGCCACCCCCUCCUGCACAGGCACUUUCUCCAAUAGACCUCCUGCACACCUGCCUCAUCUCGGCCUGUGCUUCUCAGAGGACUCAGUGGACACAGCUGGAACUGACGGGAGUGCCACAAACAGCCCCAGUGUUUAUUGCCUAGAGGCCAAGGUUGCAAGAUCCUCAGGCUCAGAGGUGAGGGGGAGCUCCCCACACCUGCCCAGGCCGAGCGACUGCGAACAGGAGCUUCAUGGGCUGGUGUCGGCUGCUUUGGCUUCCACUUUCCACAAGAGAAGGAGCAUCUUUUCCUGAUGGGGGCUCGUCUCCAUGGCAGCCAGAUGCCCUGACGGGGAGGAAAAAGACCUAAGGGGACAAGUCUUUAGCUCAUUUGGAGCUUCACAAAAUUGUACAUUUUGAUGUUUCCCUCCCAUUACUGAACUAGUACACGGCCAAAAAAAUUUGAAGAGGCCAAAAAGUAAACAGAGGGAAAAGAUAACUUGUAGGACUCAACCGGUGAUCUCUGGGAAAAUUUCCUUCUCUCUUUGUAAAGGUCAGAAUUAAAAAGUGAUGGUUGGAAUUGCA